rnacentral:rRNA from 2 species
GAGGGAUUGGGGGCGUGCUAUACAUGCAGUCGAGCGAAUGGAUUAAGAGCUUGCUCUUAUGAAGUUAGCGGCGGACGGGUGAGUAACACGUGGGUAACCUGCCCAUAAGACUGGGAUAACUCCGGGAAACCGGGGCUAAUACCGGAUAACAUUUUGAACCGCAUGGUUCGAAAUUGAAAGGCGGCUUCGGCUGUCACUUAUGGAUGGACCCGCGUCGCAUUAGCUAGUUGGUGAGGUAACGGCUCACAUAAGGGCAACCGAAGUGCGUAGCCGACCUGAGAGGGGGAUCGGCCACACUGGGACUGAGACACGGCCCAGACUCCUACCGGAGGCCAGCAGUAGGGAAUCUUCCGCAAUGGACGAAAGUUCUGACGGAGCAACGCCGCGUGGAGUGAUGAAGGCUUUCGGGUCGUAAAACUCUGUUGUUAGGGAAGAACAAGUGCUAGCUGAAUAAUGCUGGCACCUUGACGGUACCCUAACCAGAAAGCCACGGCUAACUACGUGCCAGCAGCCGCGGUAAUACGUAGGUGGCAAGCGUUAUCCGGAAAUAUUGGGCGUAAAGCGCGCGCAGGUGGUUUCUUAAGUCUGAUGUGAAAGCCCACGGCUCAACCCGUGGAGGGUCAUUGGAAACUGGGAGACUUGAGUGCAGAAGAGGAAAGUGGAAUUCCAUGUGUAGCGGUGAAAUGCGUAGAGAUAUGGAGGAACACCAGUGGCGAAGGCGACUCUCUGGUCUGUAACUGACACUGAGGCGCGAAAGCGUGGGGAGCAAACAGGAUUAGAUACCCUGGUAGUCCACGCCGUAAACGAUGAGUGCUAAGUGUUAGAGGGUUUCCGCCCUUUAGUGCUGAAGUUAACGCAUUAAGCACUCCGCCUGGGGAGUACGGCCGCAAGGCUGAAACUCAAAGGAAUUGACGGGGGCCCGCACAAGCGGUGGAGCAUGUGAUUUAAUUCGAAGCAACGCGAAGAACCUUUACCAGGUCUUGACAUCCUCUGAAAACCCUAGAGAUAGGGCUUCUCCUUCGGGAGCAGAGUGACAGGUGGUGCAUGAUUGUCGUCAGCUCGUGUCGUGAGAUGUUGGAUUAAGUCCCGCAACGAGCGCAACCCUUGAAUCUAGUUGCCAUCAUUAAGUUGGGCACUCUAAGGUGACUGCCGGUGAACAAACCGGAGGAAGGUGGGGAUGACGUCAAAUCAUCAUGCCCCUUAUGACCUGGGCUACACACGUGCUACAAUGGAAGCGUACUCAAAGAGCUGCAAGACCGCGAGGUGGAGCUAAUCUCAUAAAACCGUUCUCAGUUCGGAUUGUAGGCUGCAACUCGCCUACAUGAAGCUGGAAUCGCUAGUAAUCGCGGAUCAGCAUGCCGCGGUGAAUACGUUCCCGGGCCUUGUACACACCGCCCGUCACACCACGAGAGUUUGUAACACCCGAAGUCGGUGGGGUAACCUUUUGGAGCCAGCCGCCUAAGGUGACAGGAUGUG